ensembl:lncRNA
CGGCACGAAGUCGUCAGGUCGUUUUAUUUCUUUUGUUUUAUUUGCGUAUUAAAAAAAGAAAAAAAAAUCCUAAUAAAGAGAACAGAGGGGAGGGGGAAAAGUUUUGAAACUCUUCCCAGCUGUUCCAUAUGGUGGGUGAAGGCUGAAUUUCACGCACGAUGUCUGUGUGCCCUGUGGUGAUGCUGCUACUGCAUCUAUCGGCGAGGAUUACCCCAUCUCCCGAUCGCGUUCUUUAAUGCCAAACCAAAAGAUGAGGGAAUUCCCCACGUCAUUCUCCCCGGCCAAAGAGGUCUGCAGGAAAUCUGAAUUUCUCGCAGAGCCUCUGCUUUUAUUCCUUGCUUUUGGUCCUUUUUGGGCACACUCAAAAGCACAUGCAAGCCCUCCCCUAUAUUAACCGGGAGGUGUUAUUUUAUCGGCGCGGUGUGAAAAAUAUCAGGCUUAUAGCACCCAGUUAAUUACUCUCAAAACUCAUGCGUUUUGGGAAGGAACUCGAGGCCAAAUCCCUAUGAGCUGCUCCUCGUGUGCGUAAUCCCGUCUCCUGCAAAAGCCCUAUUGAUGGCGGCCGCCAGCAUCCAGCCCAACGCGGGACGCCGAGGACGGGCGUUCAUCCAGCACGACAAGGGCUGCUGGAAGAGAUCCCCGCCGGGUACAGCUCCAUCUGCCUCCAACACUGCCUGGGCUCCAUGGACAGACACCACUAUCACCUCGCGAGAGGAGCAGAGGAGUUUACCAACAUACCCUAUUACAUCCUGACGCCAUCAGGCUAACUCUGCCAGCUGCUGCAGCACUCCGAACACAUAAGAUUUGCUCCCAUUUCCCUGGUGCACAGUGAUUCUGGGAAGAGGAAAUGGAAGAUCUGCCCAUUGCCAGCAAAGCGGGAUGUGGCUUUGUGAACAUCACUGGUUUGGCCUCGUGCCUCAGUUUCCCCAGUGUGUGCGGAGAGACUUUUGCCUUUCCAGCAGCACCGUAAUAAGCGAAACAAGUAUAAUAAUAACAUUUACCACUAAUAGCUUUUACGACUAAUAAUUUUGCAGUCCUUAAUGGAAGCAUCUCUAUGGUGAUUCUGCAGGAUUAGGGCAUCCCUUUUGCCCCAAGCAGCCCCUAAGGACGAAGCAACGCCAAGAUCCAGCCGAAAGAACAUGACCAAAGUCAGAGUACAGAGUACAGAAGAGCCAGAAAGUGAGCAGAAGUCAGAGGCUAGCAUGGAAACUGCUACACCAUCUGUCCUCUCUGCUUGCUCGAAAGACUCUUCGCAAUUAGGGCAUAACUGAGUAUACGACAUUGUUUUCCUGCACUGUAUUCAAGCUCCAUUCUCACUCGUUAUAAUGAGCUCAUUAUUGAUUUGUGGAGCUUCCCCUUUGAGCUUCUGUGCCUUUCAAAACACGUAGCCAACGUUCAGGCAAUAAAACGGAUACUCAUGGCAUGCUGUAUAUGUGUCGCAGUGCCUGUCGUAUGUUGUGAUACAUGGGAUAGCCAUCUUCUGCCACUAUUUACAGAAUCAGAGGAGAACAAGGAAGCGAUCAGCAUGGCAAAGCCAAUGAGGCUCCUUCUUAGCAUCACGACGGUCGGCAUACUGGAAAUCGGAGUACUGCACCAUCCAAAACUAUUCAUGGAAGUGGGCUGAAACUGAAACGGUGCAACAGGAUAUCAGGGAAACAACAAAUUUCACUGAAAAACAUAUACUCCAGUCCAAAAAAAAGAAAAAACUAUAGGAAAGGAACUGGCCUUCUUCCUUUUGUUCUGCUCCUUUAGUUUAAAAACAGGGUAAGUUGAGGGGAGAUGGGCAAUUAUACCACUACACUGUAGUUUACAUUUCUUAACAGUGCAUAUGUAAAAAUUGUUGGAAUGUUGCAUUUCAAUGCAAUAUUUAAAUUGCUGCCGUAGCCCAUGAAUGCCCUACUACACAGAGGGGAGAAAAGGCUGCAGCUCAGUGGGAAUUUCUCAUCAGAUAGUAAAGGUGCUUGUAUGGGCUGAAUAGAUUAAAUCACAGCCAUUGCCCUAAACGUGGAGCUAUAGAGACCCCCUUAUCGCUGCUCCUCCUUCCUGCCCUGCCCUUUCUUCCCCAUGUUCCCCCCAGCAUGCUGCUGGAGGAGGAAGCAUCAGGCUGCACCCCUCGGAUGGACACCAGCUCCUAAAACAAUCCCUGCCCAUUGUAUCUGUUAUCUCCCUUGCAUUUGUUAUCUCAUAUGCUCCUGGGCUGCAUUGUCCCAUAGGAAGGGGACCUGGGGGCUAUUUUCCAGCUCUCAUUGCAGCACAGAAUCCUGCACAGGUACAUAGAGAUGUGGUUGGAGUGGGCAAGGUGAGAUCCUCAGGAAGAACCCAGCUCACAGGUGGGUCACCAGCACACACUCAUUUUGGGACCCUUUGGGUUCAGGGAGCUCAGGGCUGAGGAAUGACUGAAAAAUACACCUGAAAAGGCGUUUCUUUGCCCACGGGGAGGACUUCAUCACUGUGUUUCUCAGUGAGUGCACACAAAAUCAUUCUUUUACCCAGCAACCUGACGGUAUUGAAUUCACCUGCACCACCAGUAUGAAAGUAAACACAUCAAGGGGAAACCUGGGUGUUUCUGCUACAAGUUCUUAUAGGGAACGUAAAGAAGCAAAAAGGACAGACUUCAGGGAGGAAUAAGCGGGCAGCCAACCCCUGUUAUCUCCACACGAUAAAGCAAAAUAUGCAGGAGUGCUCCCAUCUGAAAUCCCUUCUCCGGCUGUGGGUGAGGAGCAGCGGUACUCCAGGAUGGGGAGGAGGAGGUGGGCACAGAGCCAUCCCAGGGGGCCACGUCCUCCCGUCCCAUUAAGCCCGCGGGCAGCUCAGGCUGCGGGAGCAGGCAGGGAGGGAGAUGAAAGGCUCCUGGAAGGAAUCAGGUGCAGGGGGUGGGCAGAUGCUGCUAAAGAGCAAAGGGAUGCGGCCAGGCUCAUUUGUCUGGAAGGGAACCAGCAGGAACUUUCUUUUUAUCUCCAAUUGCGGAUGUUAGGGCCGUUCCUAAAGGCCACGGCCAGUUGGGACCCCACCACUUUCCAUCCAUUAUGGGGAGGGAAACUGCAAUGCAUUUUUUCCCACACCCAUGAUGGGACCCAGCCGGGCUCUGCCUCCCCCAGCCCAAACUGUGCUCCGUCCGUCUGUCCCACAAUGAGUUGAACACAUCCCCACGUUCCUGGCCCUCUCCUCCUGCCCUGCCUGGGGAUUAGCCACGCUCCACCUCAUCUGAGUGCGACUUAGCAGGGCAACCCUUUGCCAGGCAGGCGGAGCAGGGCAUGGCCCCGUCUGUCUGUCCGUCUGUCUGUCCGUCCAUCCGUCUGUCCGUCUGUCUGCCCGGGGAUUAGCUCAACCCCACCUGGGCUGCCUCUGGCUCCUCUCACCGGGAUCUCCUGGACCAUGUGUGCCUCUAGUCUGCAUCGGCUGGCAGGUGGCAGCUGUCUGUCCGUCUGUCUGUCUGGGGGAGACGGACGGGUGCUGCUAUGCCCAUCCCACCACUGUGCCUGUUUGACUGGGAGAGAUGGACAGACACAAGUGCCCAUCCUAUCACCACGCCUGUCUGUCCAGGAGGGGAAGCCAUACGCCUCCACGUCCAUCUGUCUGUCCGUGCCUUAUGCUGCCAUGCCUAUCCAUAAGGAGAUAUUCAGCACAGCCCUGUCUGUUUGCCUGUCUGUACCAUACACUGCCAUGCCUAUCAAUGAGAGGACACUGGGCACAGCCCUGUCCGACUGCCCAUCCAUAAGGGCAACUACACACUGCCAUGCCUAUCUGUGAGGGCUGCUGGGCACAGCCUUGUCCUCUGCCUGGCACUAAGGUCUGGUGUAGGCAGCCCUGGGCACCAGCACAGUCCCCCCUCCCAUCCCCAGGCACAGAUUAAACCUGAGAUUAGGGCCGGGGACUGCUUGGGCACUGCAAACAGCACAGAGCUUACAUUGUACACCCGAUGUCACAACGGGCAGGGACAUAAAUAUCAAUAAAAUACACCUAAAAAAGCCUAUUUUCACCCAUACGAUGAGGCAGAGCUGGACUCCUCCUCCACCCUGGCCAUGCUGGAAACCCACCUCUUACCCCAAAAAACUCAGCGUGAAACCCCUGGGCUGCUGGAUGGGACAUUCGAUGCUGGGGGUGCUCAGUGCAGGACAAAGCUUCUCAGGGAAGGUGCCUGCGGGGAUGGUGCUGGUGGGAGACCAGGGAGAUUCCCUGCUGUUUGAGAGAAGGGAAUUGACCAUUAGGGCUUUUUUCUUUUUCUUUUUUUUUCCCCCACUUUUCCUUUCUUUUUCUUUUUUUUUCCCCCUUUAUUUCUUUCCCCUUUUCCCCAUUUUUUUCUUUGCCUUUGCCUCUUUUCUCUCCUUUUAAAAUUCUUCUUUAUUCCUUUUUAUAUUUUUUCUUUUUUCCCUUUUUUUACCCCUUUUUCUUUCUUCUUUUUCUUUUUUUCUCCUUUUCCCAUUUUUAUUUUUUUCCUCUUUUUUUCUUUUUCUUUUUUACUUUCUUCUUUUUCUUUUUCCCUUUUCCCCUUUUUCUGUUUUAUUCUUUUUCUUUUUUUCCAUUUUCCCUUUUCCCAUUUUUCCCCUUUUUCUCCCCUUUUCCCUUUUCCCCCUUUUUUCCCUUUUCCCCCUUUUUUUCCUUUUUCCCCCAUUUCUUUUCUUUUCUUUUCUUUUCUUUUCUUUUCUUUUCUUUUCUUUUCUUUUCUUUUCUUUUCUUUUCUUUUCUUUUCUUUUCUUUUCUUUUCUUUUCUUUUCUUUUCUU